rnacentral:rRNA from 1 species
GAUGAACGCUAGCGGCAGGCCUAACACAUGCAAGUCGAGGGGCAGCACGGAUUGCCUGCAAUCUGGUGGCGACCGGCGCACGGGUGCGUAACGCGUAUACAACCUACCUUUUUGAGGGGAAUAGCCCAGAGAAAUUUGGAUUAAUACCCCAUAGUAUAUAGGAAUCUCCUGAUUUUUAUAUUAAACAUUUAUGGCCAUUAGAUGGGUAUGGGUCCUAUUAGCUAGUUGGUGUGGUAACGGCACACCAAGGCUACGAUAGGUAGUGGUCCUGAGAGGGAGAUCCCCCAUACUGGUACUGAGACACGGACCAGACUCCUACGGGAGGCAGCAGUGAGGAAUAUUGGACAAUGGGCGAGAGCCUGAUCCAGCCAUGCCGCGUGCAGGAAGACUGCCCUAUGGGUUGUAAACUGCUUUUACAGAGGAAGAACCACCCCCACGUGUGGGGGUUUGACGGUACUCUGCGAAUAAGGAUCGGCUAACUCCGUGCCAGCCGCCGCGGUAA